GACGAACGCUGGCGGCGUGCUUAACACAUGCAAGUCGAACGGAAAGGCCCUGCUUUUGUGGGGUGCUCGAGUGGCGAACGGGUGAGUAACACGUGAGUAACCUGCCCUUGACUUUGGGAUAACUUCAGGAAACUGGGGCUAAUACCGGAUAGGAGCUCCUGCUGCAUGGUGAGGGUUGGAAAGUUUCGGCGGUUGGGGAUGGACUCGCGGCUUAUCAGCUUGUUGGUGGGGUAGUGGCUUACCAAGGCUUUGACGGGUAGCCGGCCUGAGAGGGUGACCGGCCACAUUGGGACUGAGAUACGGCCCAGACUCCUACGGGAGGCAGCAGUGGGGAGUAUUGCACAAUGGGCGGAAGCCUGAUGCAGCAACGCCGCGUGCGGGAUGACGGCCUUCGGGUUGUAAACCGCUUUCGCCUGUGACGAAGCGUGAGUGACGGUAAUGGGUAAAGAAGCACCGGCUAACUACGUG
rnacentral:rRNA from 1 species